AUAUAUACACCCAGAGUCCAAUAUGAAGGAACAACUCCCAAAGUAGAUCUUAUUAAUAAAAAAAUCUAUGUUCUAGUCUUUUUUUCUAUUGCAAAUAAAUAAUACAAAUAACACACAAAAAAAACCUUUAGUGUCUUCAUAGAAAAUAAUAAUAACUUUAAGCAAUAUGACAAAUCUGAUCUGGAUUAGAUUCCUACUACAAAUUGGACAUUAUGCAUAUAUAAAACAAAACCACAGAUAUAUGAGAUUCAAUCUUAGAUGGUAUACGCGUGCGCCCGUAAGGGAAAGAACAUACGCAAUGCGCCUAAUUACAAAAACAUAUUUUAACAAUUCUGACAACAUAUUAAAAACAACCCACGUCAUUUGGUCGGGUUAUUUGUUGCCCACCAUAAAGAAAAGAAACUGACAAGGACAAACAAUCAUAGUGCUUUCUCUGCUACUCCUACUGAAAAUUCAAUAAAAGUAUCUCGUUCGGACAUUUGCCGGCUCCACCAUACUUAUUAUACCUCUAUGGAGUCAAUAGAUCAUAGGUCUUAACACGAUAAAUUACGGUGCCACUGGUUCCAGUACCACUUCCCGUAAUGAACAUGUCCCAUCCCUAAGCAUACACAUGACAGCGCGUAUUAAACCGGUUGUCAAUUUUAGUACUGGAUACAAUAAUUUUAAGAAAAAAAAACCGACUUCAAUGAGGGAGACCGGUGAAAGAACGAUUACUGUUAAUUUUAGAUUUCAUAAAAUGAAAUUAAAAAGACAGCGUCCUACGCCUAAUUAUGUAGAAAAGGAGGUAACAUGUUUUUUUUUUGCCACUGCACCCACCUUGACACAUUUCAGAUUUGCCCUAUGAUUGACUAUGGUAUUCGACUGUAUUUAAGAUAAAUUACUUUACACCAUGCAUGAAAUAAAGCACCAGAUAAUUAUUAAAAAAACUAAAUAGGAUAUAAAUAUAAAAAUUUGCCUUGAAAACCUAACUGCUUGGCAAAGAGAACAAGUUGCCAAACGUGAACUAUGCAUCAUUGAAGAGUUCCGUUCUGUUCAUCAUCAGCAGUACUUUCUACUUCAUCAAAUGUCACUUCUACAAAUGUAAAUACUUGAUUUGUUAAUGAAAAUACUAAGAUCACUAUAUAUAUAUGCCUUUAACAUUUGUGGAGUUCCCUCGAGUCCUCAUGGACCCGAUCGUCAGAAUUCGAACUUGACAAAAAAUUGUCUUGAAAAUCUUAUUUGCUUAACAAACACAGCGAAGAGGACAAAUCGCCAAACGUGUACUAUACGUCGUUGAAGAGUACCAUUCUGAUCAUCAUCAGCAGUUCCAUUUCAUUAAAUGUCACUUUUUUCAAAUGUAAAUGCUUGAUUUUUUAAAGAAAAUACAAAAAUCACUAUAUGUAUGCCUUUCAUAUUUGAAGAGUUCCCUCGAUUCCUCAUGGACCCCAUCGUCAGAACUCGAAUUUGACAAAAAAUUGUUUUGAAAAUUUCAUUUACUUAACAAACACAACGAAGAGGAGAAAUCGCCAAACGUGUACUAUGCGUCGUUGAAGAGUUCCAUUCUGAUCAUCAUCAGCAGUUCUUCUUCAUCAAAUGUCACUUUUUUAAAUGUAAAUGCUUGAUUUGUUACGGAAAAUACAAAAAUCACUAUA